rnacentral:rRNA from 1 species
AACGGGUGAGUAACACGUGGGCAAUCUGCCCUGCACUCUGGGACAAGCCCUGGAAACGGGGUCUAAUACCGGAUAUUGACCUUCACGGGCAUCUGUGAGGUUCGAAAGCUCCGGCGGUGCAGGAUGAGCCCGCGGCCUAUCAGCUUGUUGGUGAGGUAAUGGCUCACCAAGGCGACGACGGGUAGCCGGCCUGAGAGGGCGACCGGCCACACUGGGACUGAGACACGGCCCAGACUCCUACGGGAGGCAGCAGUGGGGAAUAUUGCACAAUGGGCGAAAGCCUGAUGCAGCGACGCCGCGUGAGGGAUGACGGCCUUCGGGUUGUAAACCUCUUUCAGCAGGGAAGAAGCGAAAGUGACGGUACCUGCAGAAGAAGCGCCGGCUAACUACGUGCCAGCAGCCGCGGUAAUACGUAGGGCGCAAGCGUUGUCCGGAAUUAUUGGGCGUAAAGAGCUCGUAGGCGGCUUGUCACGUCGGUUGUGAAAGCCCGGGGCUUAACCCCGGGUCUGCAGUCGAUACGGGCAG